UGAGUUAAUUGAUUAAAAUUAAGUAAAUUAAGUCAAGUCAAAAAAGCAAAUGACUCGUAAGUCUCUAAAAUGCAAAUAAAAAAAUAACACAAAAAUUCGUGGGCGGGGGCAUUUCUGGGAACAAAUGGAUUUAAGAAAUGAGAGAAUUAAGGAUACCCAGAAAGAGCUAAGAACAUGUAAAAUGGUAAACAAAAGUUGUUGAAUAAAAGUUGGAAUGUCCUAGAAUCAAUGGACUUGAAAGAAGGAUGUAAACAAAUUCUUGUGCUUGGGUUGUAUGUUAUCCAAUAGAACAUGAUGGCAUGUCAAGAACAACUUUCACAAACCAUCUUGUAUAUUGUUUCUGUUUAAUGACUUUUUUUUCUUUCCUUUUCUCGAAACAUAUGUUUAAUGACUUCUUAAGCUGAAUAACCCGUUUCAGCUUUUAAUUGGACUAAAAUCCAUCUGAACCUUUUACCCUUAAAUUUAUGAGCAUAAUUGGGAAUGCAGGGAGGUGGAUGUGGUGGGGGUGUUUCGCUACAAGAACACCUGGCCACUGUGUCUGGAGUUCCUUAGAAGCGGAAAGAUUGAUGUAAAGCCCCUUAUCACGCACAGGUUUGGUUUCUCCCAGAAAGAAGUGGAAGAGGCCUUUGAAACAAGUGCUGGUGGUGGUACUGCAAUCAAGGUCAUGUUUAAUCUGUAAAAUACAACGUAAAGUAAACGUUUGGGCAAAAGAUGAAAUAAAAUGGAAUUGUCGCCGAGUAAUAUGAAUCAAAGUGUAGCAUAUUACUUUAUUUCUAUCUAUUACAAAAUAAAAUUCAGAUUUCUCAAGUUUUUUGUUCUUUAUUGUCUGCACUGUGCUAUAUUUUCUUCAUCCUUUUGUGUAUGCUUAUUUGAAAGCCAAUCAAUAGGUUUCCUGGUUAACAGAUGAUUACCCUGCAAGACAUUUCAGUCACCACUUUGGUUCAGCCGUGAGUUGUGUUUGCUGUAGACAACUGCAGAGUAAUUUCAACAUACCCGAACUCUUUCCUUUAACCUUCGUAACAUUUUUUAAAAGAUAAAACAAUUCUUUCAUACCAUUUUGCAAAAUUAGCCACCACUCACAUACAUGAAGUUGAUAUUGAUUCCUUUAUGAAGAUACAAUUAUUGCAAGGUUUCGAUUUCGGGGUCCAUUAAUUCUGAAAAAAAACAAAAUUAACAAACAACAAACGGUUCUGAAACCGAUAAAUUCUCUCCACGUAAGCACGUUAUCCCGUUGAAAAAAGAAACCAUAAUCUCUAUCACAAAUUUUUUAAAACUGUCAUUAGUAAUUGGAUUUAUCCUUAAAUAAAAAUGAGUCAGAUGAAAACAGAAAUCAAUCAUCUACGCGGAUAAAUACAAAGAACACUUGAUGUUAUGCCUCACUUGUCAUUAAAUAUUCCUGCGACCGAAUCAAAUCAUAUCCCAUAUCCAGAAUCAGAUAGUGUACAGAGUGAAGUCUCUGCUGUGCACUUGUGUUUUUGAAGGGUGAAAAGCAAAUAUGGGCAAAGGUGGGAUGUCACAAGGAGAAAAGGAAGAUGGAGAAGAAGUUAACAUGGCAGCUUGGCUUCUGGGUGUCAACACCCUCAAGAUUCAGCCUUUUGAGCUUCCUUCUCUGGGUAUUUUGAUCUUUCUUUCAUUUCAGUCUUGCAUCUUAGAAGUGUUAUGGAAUUUGUUUAUUGGUUGAAGAUAUGAACUUUUGAUAGAUUGAUAGAUAUCUAAAGAGAGAUCUUUGGUUGAAAAACAAUAAAAACACAUCUUCCAAUACAGCUUAUCUCAUACCUCUUACAAUUGAAUUAACUAUCACUCACAAUUAAUGUAAUUCAAACUGAUUGUUUUAACAUCUUUGUUUGUUAUUUGUAAACUGUAGGACCAUAUGAUGUUUUAGUCAGGAUGAAAGCCGUUGGUAUUUGUGGAAGUGAUGUGCAUUUUCUCAAGGUAUAUUUGUUAAUCCCUCUUCAACUUCCCUUAAAUUAUUAUUAUUAUUAUUAUUAUGGCAAUUACUCUGUCAAAUUGCUGAGAAAUGUUAAUAAUGGUAUAUUUUCACUUUAUGUUAUUCAAAAUAAUACUUGAAUGUUGAAUGUUUGUGUAUUUUUGCAGACCUUGAGGCUUGCCGAUUUUGUAGUGAAAGAGCCUAUGGUGAUCGGGCAUGAGUGUGCUGGGGUCAUAGAGAAGGUGGGAAGCGAGGUGAAGACUUUGGUGCCCGGUGACCGUGUGGCCCUGGAACCCGGGAUCAGCUGCUGGCGAUGUGAUCACUGCAAAGGAGGUCGAUACAAUUUGUGUCCAGAGAUGAAAUUUUUUGCAACUCCGCCAGUUCAUGGUUCUCUGGCUAAUCAGGUUGAUUGAAAAUUUACAUUUUGAGCUAAGGUCUAUAGGACUAUGAGAUGAGAAAUAUGGUAGACUGACUUUAACACAGUUUAUGCCCUUAUAAAUUUCAGUAAUGAUAUACUUACUAUGGUAAGUAUACCAUCACUACAGAACAAAAAAAUUUGAUUACAAGAUAAAAGAAAAUUCCACCGUAAGACAAUUUUUUUUUUGCUUUCUCUUACAGAUUUUGUACUAAUUAUUAUACAUACAUUAUUAUUCUAUAAAUUUUACUGUUUGAGAUUUUUUAGUGUCUUACAUUAUUACUACAAUACGAUCUAUGCCCUUGUGAAUUCUGUUGCAUAAAUAGUGGUGUCACUUUACCUGUUCUUCUAAAAACAUACUGGUUACUGUCAAUUGUGUAGUUCCGAUUUGAUCUUCUGUUCCCUCUUGUCAUAUAUUUUUUAUCUGGCAAUGUUUGUUGAUUCCUUUUAUUUGAAAUGAAAUUGGCUGCUAUUAAAAUUGAUCGGCUGCUUGACAUAAUGACUAAGAUGCAUUUCUUGUGUAUAAUAGGUGGUGCAUCCUGCAGACCUAUGUUUUAAGCUGCCCGACAAUGUCAGCCUGGAGGAAGGGGCUAUGUGUGAGCCCUUGAGUGUUGGUGUUCAUGCUUGCCGUCGUGCCAAUAUCGGUCCUGAGACAAAUGUGCUUAUCAUGGGUGCAGGGCCCAUAGGACUUGUCACAAUGCUAGCAGCUCGUGCUUUUGGAGCUCCUAGAAUUGUCAUUGUGGAUGUGGAUGACUAUCGUUUAUCUGUUGCAAAGGAAAUUGGUGCAGAUAAUAUUGUUAAAGUUUCAACAAAUUUGCAGGUAUAUUACUGCUCAUUGCCCAGCAGAAGAGUUUAGAAAAGUAAAAGACAUCUCAAAAUCUUCAUGCUCACAAUCCUUCCCUUUCUGGCUUUCUCUUAAUCAUCAUAACAACAUGUUUUGUUCAACCAACACUGUUGCAUUAAGACCUUGUUCUAACUUCCUCAGUUCAUUUUUGUUAUCACUACCUUUUGUUUUCUGUUUGAAAGUUGACCACUCUAAUCUGCAUUAUUCUUGUUAUCAGAGUAGAGGUGAGCUUGAGCUUUGGUUCGUUUGAAAAUUGAUCAUGUGCUCCUCACCCUUGUUUUUUCUGCUUGAAUAAACCGCUAUGCAUCGAGUAUUUUGCAGGAUAUAGCUGAAGAAGUGGAAAAGAUACAGAAAGCCAUGGGGACGGGAAUAGAUGUGAGCUUUGAUUGUGCAGGCCUUAACAAAACCAUGUCAACAGCACUGGGCGCCACUCGUGCAGGUGGUAAAGUUUGCCUCGUGGGGAUGGGUCAUCAUGAUAUGACUGUCCCACUCACUCCAGCUGCUGCAAGGUACUUGAUUUACGGUUUUCUUUUCCUUUUUUUUUCUUGUUUUGGGCUACUCCGUUAUUUACUUUAGGAAAAUGCUAUAUACCCCGGGUCAAACCCCAAAACUAAUUCAAGCGACGUUGUUUGAUCCUUUUUUUUUUUAUUCACCUUAAAACGACGCCGUUUUGUUUAGCUAACGUCAGCCUUAAUUGCUCUCUCUUCAUCUUCGUUUCAACGACAAAAUCGAUUUGGCUUAGACAAAACCGAUUUCAAGAACAUCAGCGACAAAACCGAUUUGGCAAAACCUUUAAGCUUUUAUCUUCCUUCUAGGUGAUUGGAUUUGGCUUAGAUAAGGCAAAAAGGAAAUCUUGAACAAGGUGGCUGCCAGGCGUGAUGGUGGUGCUAAUGGCUAGGUAUGCGUGAUGGUGGCUGCCAGUUGUGGAUCGCGAACGGUUGUGAAAUGAAGAGGAAGAUAAAGCAGUUGUUUUACAGAGACAUGGAAGGCGAAUGGUUGGGAGACGAAGAGGAAGAGAGAGCAAUUUUGGACCGUCGUUGCUUUUGUCUUAACUAAGCCAAAACGACAUCGUUUUUGGGAGAAUGAAAGGCCAAAAAAAAUAAAAAUGAAAUAGCGUCGUUUGCAUUAGUUUUGGAGUUUGACUUGGGGUAAAUAGCAACACUAUUUACUUUAAGUUUCUAGUUAGUUUCAGCAAAUUCACUUUAAGAUCACUUUUUUUUUUUUUUGAAAUCUGAGAAAAUUUGAAUUAGUGAUUUUUUUUUUUAUCUGAAUUGCUAAAAGUAAAUUUUAAAUUAUUUUUCUAACCUAAAAAAAAUAUAAAAACUAAUAUUUUUACAUUUAUAUCCUUACAAAUUAUAAAUGUUAAACAAAUAAUAAACAUAUCAAAAAAUAUAAACAAGAUAAUAUAUUAUUAUAACAUAAAUCAUAUUCAGUUGAAUACAACUCUUUAAUAUUUUAUAUUAAAUAUGUUAAUCAAAUUUAUUAUAGUUUAUGAUGUCUUUAUAUGAAAAAUAUUUAUAAAAAAUUAUGAAGAUAAAUAAUGCUAAUUUGAAGAAAAUAAAAAUAUGAAAAUAAUAAUAAUCUACCACUAUAUAUUAUCACAAGUUAUAUAGAGAUGGGUAAUAAUGCUAAUUAUUAAAUUUUAUUUAGGAAAUGAUGAAAAUUAAUUAGUGAGAUAUGAAUAUUUUGGAGAAUAUCUUUUAAUGGUACCAUUAAAACUUUUUAUAUUAAGCAAAAAAGGUAAAAAAAAUUAGUUCAAUAACUUAAUAACUUAAUGGCUGAAAUUUUUCAUUAAGUUGAAAAAAUAAAUAGAUUUAAUGACUUAAUUGAUUAAAAUUAAGUCAAUUAAGCCAAGUAAAAAAAGCAAAUGACCGCUAAGUCUCUGAAAUGCAAAAAAAAAAAAACACAAAAUUCGUGGGAGGAGCAUUUCAUUGUUGGAUUGGGAACAAAUGGAUUUAAAAAAUGAGAGAAUAAAAGUUGAAUACAAUUACCAAAAAGAUCAUAAAGCCAUCAUUUUUAAGAACAUGUAAAAUGGUAAACAAAAGUUGUUGAAUAAAAGUUGGAAUGUCCUAGAAUCAAUAGACUUGGAAGAAGAAUGUAAACAAAUUCUUGUGCUUGGGUUGUAUGUUAUCCAAUAGAACACGAUGGCAUGUCAAGAACAACCUUCACAAACCAUCUUGUAUAUUGUUUCUGUUUAAUGACUGUUUUUCCUUUCCUUUUCUCGAAACAUAUGCUUAAUGACUUCUUAAGCUGAAUAACCCGUUUCAGCUUUUAAUUGGACUAAAAUCCGUCUGAACCUUUUACCCUUAAAUUUAUGAGCAUAAUUGCGAACGCAGGGAAGUGGAUGUGGUGGGGGUGUUUCGCUACAAGAACACCUGGCCACUGUGUCUGGAGUUCCUUAGAAGCGGAAAGAUUGAUGUAAAGCCCCUUAUCACGCACAGGUUUGGUUUCUCCCAGAAAGAAGUGGAAGAGGCC
rnacentral:lncRNA from 1 species